rnacentral:rRNA from 1 species
AGUCGAACGGAAGUCGUUAUAAAAAGGAUUGAAGAUUUAUCUGAUUGAGAUUUUAUAACAAUGGCUUUAGUGGCGGACUGGUGAGUAACGCGUGAGCAACCUGCCUACUAGAGGGGAAUAACAGUGAGAAAUCAUUGCUAAUACCGCAUAUGCCAUGAACAUCACAUGAUGAAAGUGGGAAAAGAGUAAUCUGCUAGUAGAUGGGCUCGCGUCUGAUUAGAUAGUUGGUGGGGUAACGGCCUACCAAGUCGACGAUCAGUAGCCGGACUGAGAGGUUGAACGGCCACAUUGGGACUGAGAUACGGCCCAGACUCCUACGGGAGGCAGCAGUCGGGAAUAUUGCGCAAUGGAGGAAACUCUGACGCAGUGACGCCGCGUAUAGGAAGAAGGUUUUCGGAUUGUAAACUAUUGUCGUUAGGGAAGAUACAAGACAGUACCUAAGGAGGAAGCUCCGGCUAACUACGUGCCAGCAGCCGCGGUAAUACGUAGGGAGCAAGCGUUAUCCGGAUUUAUUGGGUGUAAAGGGUGCGUAGACGGGAAAGCAAGUUAGUUGUGAAAUCCCUCGGCUUAACUGAGGAACUGCAACUAAAACUGUUUUUCUUGAGUGUUGGAGAGGAAAGUGGAGUUCCUAGUGUAGCGGUGAAAUGCGUAGAUAUUAGGAGGAACACCGGUGGCGAAGGCGACUUU